CUAGUACUCCCUCCGUUCGGAAUUACUUGUCGUAGAAGUGGAUGUAUCUAGACGUAUUUUAGUUCUAGAUAUAUCCAUUUUCGAGACAAGUAAUUCCAAACGGAGGAAGUACUAC
rnacentral:pre_miRNA from 1 species